rnacentral:rRNA from 1 species
UAAGGAGAGGGGUUAGCGUAAGCGAAGCUCUGAACUGAAGCCCCAGUAAACGGCGGCCGUAACUAUAACGGUCCUAAGGUAGCGAAAUUCCUUGUCGGGUAAGUUCCGACCCGCACGAAAGGUGUAACGAUUUGGGCACUGUCUCAACCAGAGACUCGGUGAAAUUAUAGUACCUGUGAAGAUGCAGGUUACCCGCGACAGGACGGAAAGACCCCGUGGAGCUUUACUGUAGCCUGAUAUUGAAUUUUGGUACAGUUUGUACAGGAUAGGCGGGAGCCUUUGAA